rnacentral:rRNA from 1 species
GACGAACCGUGCGAACGUUAUUCGGAAUCACUGGACUUAAAGCGCGUGUAGGCGGGCCGCCGCGUCGGCUGCUGAAAUCCCCCGGCUCAACCGGGGAACGGGCACCGAUACGGGCGGCCUCGAGGGGGGUAGGGGGGCCUGGAACUUCCGGUGGAGCGGUGAAAUGCGUUGAGAUCGGAAGGAACGCCAAGGGUGAAAACAGCUCGCUGGGGGUGUGCUGACGCUGAGACACGAAAGCCGGGAGCAAACGGG